rnacentral:rRNA from 1 species
GAUGGACGCUGGCGGCGUGCCUAAUACAUGCAAGUCGAGCGAACGGACGAGAAGCUUGCUUCUCUGAUGUUAGCGGCGGACGGGUGAGUAACACGUGGAUAACCUACCUAUAAGACUGGGAUAACUUCGGGAAACCGGAGCUAAUACCGGAUAAUAUUUUGAACCGCAUGGUUCAAAAGUGAAAGACGGUCUUGCUGUCACUUAUAGAUGGAUCCGCGCUGCAUUAGCUAGUUGGUAAGGUAACGGCUUACCAAGGCAACGAUGCAUAGCCGACCUGAGAGGGUGAUCGGCCACACUGGAACUGAGACACGGUCCAGACUCCUACGGGAGGCAGCAGUAGGGAAUCUUCCGCAAUGGGCGAAAGCCUGACGGAGCAACGCCGCGUGAGUGAUGAAGGUCUUCGGAUCGUAAAACUCUGUUAUUAGGGAAGAACAUAUGUGUAAGUAACUGUGCACAUCUUGACGGUACCUAAUCAGAAAGCCACGGCUAACUACGUGCCAGCAGCCGCGGUAAUACGUAGGUGGCAAGCGUUAUCCGGAAUUAUUGGGCCGUAAGGCGCGCGUAGGCGGUUUUUUAGUCUGAUGUGAAAGCCCACGGCUCAACCGUGGAGGGUCAUUGGAAACUGGAAAACUUGAGUGCAGAAGAGGAAAGUGGAAUUCCAUGUGUAGCGGUGAAAUGCGCAGAGAUAUGGAGGAACACCAGUGGCGAAGGCGACUUUCUGGUCUGUAACUGACGCUGAUGUGCGAAAGCGUGGGGAUCAAACAGGAUUAGAUACCCUGGUAGUCCACGCCGUAAACGAUGAGUGCUAAGUGUUAGGGGGUUUCCGCCCCUUAGUGCUGCAGCUAACGCAUUAAGCACUCCGCCUGGGGAGUACGACCGCAAGGUUGAAACUCAAAGGAAUUGACGGGGACCCGCACAAGCGGUGGAGCAUGUGGUUUAAUUCGAAGCAACGCGAAGAACCUUACCAAAUCUUGACAUCCUUUGACAACUCUAGAGAUAGAGCCUUCCCCUUCGGGGGACAAAGUGACAGGUGGUGCAUGGUUGUCGUCAGCUCGUGUCGUGAGAUGUUGGGUUAAGUCCCGCAACGAGCGCAACCCUUAAGCUUAGUUGCCAUCAUUAAGUUGGGCACUCUAAGUUGACUGCCGGUGACAAACCGGAGGAAGGUGGGGAUGACGUCAAAUCAUCAUGCCCCUUAUGAUUUGGGCUACACACGUGCUACAAUGGACAAUACAAAGGGCAGCGAAACCGCGAGGUCAAGCAAAUCCCAUAAAGUUGUUCUCAGUUCGGAUUGUAGUCUGCAACUCGACUACAUGAAGCUGGAAUCGCUAGUAAUCGUAGAUCAGCAUGCUACGGUGAAUACGUUCCCGGGUCU